CUGCAACAGAAGAGACGGCAACCCCAUCACAGCUUUUCAUCCUUACUCAGAAUAUAAGAAUCAGAAGGGACCUUGGAAGCUAUCAACUCCAACUGACCAGGAAUCUCCUACAUAAUACUAUUGACCAACAGUCAUCUAGACUUUACUUGAAGAUCUCCAGUGAGUGGGAACCCAUUACCUCCUGAAAUGGCCCUUCUACUUCCAGAUACUUACCGCUGGUAGAAGAAGACCCUGAGAAGAAAAAAAAAAGCUCUGGCAUCCUUGUGUUGUCCUGAUUGGAGAAUUAAAUGCUUGAGGUAAGGAGGUGUGAGCCAAGACAGAGUGAAGAAAAACUGACAGCCGCUGAAAUGCAGGAUAAGAAGAGCUAUAAAGACCUUCCUCUUAUCUUAUCAGGAGGGAAGUAAUAACAAACCCUCAAGCAUGGGGUUUAAGAGGAAGACAGUCGGCUGUUGAAGUUUACCAACUAUGUAA